rnacentral:rRNA from 1 species
AGUGAACGCUGGCGGUAGGCCUAACACAUGCAAGUCGAACGGCAGCACAGUAAGAGCUUGCUCUUACGGGUGGCGAGUGGCGGACGGGUGAGGAAUACAUCGGAAUCUACUUUUUCGUGGGGGAUAACGUAGGGAAACUUACGCUAAUACCGCAUACGACCUACGGGUGAAAGCAGGGGAUCUUCGGACCUUGCGCGAUUGAAUGAGCCGAUGUCGGAUUAGCUAGUUGGCGGGGUAAAGGCCCACCAAGGCGACGAUCCGUAGCUGGUCUGAGAGGAUGAUCAGCCACACUGGAACUGAGACACGGUCCAGACUCCUACGGGAGGCAGCAGUGGGGAAUAUUGGACAAUGGGCGCAAGCCUGAUCCAGCCAUACUGCGUGGGUGAAGAAGGCCUUCGGGUUGUAGAGCCCUUUUGUUGGGAAAGAAAAGCAGCAGGUUAAUACCCCGCUGUUCUGACGGUACCCAAAGAAUAAGCACCGGCUAACUUCGUG